rnacentral:rRNA from 1 species
UACGAAGGUCCCAAGCGUUAUCCGGAUUUAUUGGGUUUAAAGGGUGCGUAGGCGGGUUAUUAAGUCAGUGGUGAAAGCCUUCAGCUUAACUGAAGAAUUGCCAUUGAUACUGAUGAUCUUGAGUAUGAUUGAGGUUGGCGGAAUGUGUCAUGUAGCGGUGAAAUGCUUAGAUAUGACACAGAACACCGAUUGCGAAGGCAGCUAACUAAGCCAUAACUGACGCUGAUGCACGAAAGCGUGGGGAGCAAACAGG